rfam:Harpegnathos saltator strain R22 G/1 HarSal_1.0_3.contig5386, whole genome shotgun sequence.
CAAACGGCCCUUUUCAGGGCCACCAAUAAUAUAAUGUUGAUAUCCU